UACGGAGGGGGCAAGCGUUGUUCGGAAUUACUGGGCGUAAAGGGCGCGCAGGCGGCUGCUCAAGUCAGGCGUGAAAGGCCUGGGCUCAACCCGGGAAUUGCGCUUGAGACUGGGCUGGCUUGAGUGCGGGAGAGGAUGGUGGAAUUCCCAGUGUAGAGGUGAAAUUCGAUAGAUAUUAGGAAGAACACCAGUGGCGAAGGCGGCUCACCUGGCCCGGUACUGACGCUGAGGCGCGAAAGCGAUGGGAGCAA
rnacentral:rRNA from 1 species